rnacentral:rRNA from 1 species
UACGGGGGGAGCAAGCGUUGUUCGGAUUUACUGGGCGUAAAGCGCGCGUAGGCGGCCCGGUAAGUCCGUUGUAAAAGUCGAAGGCUCAACCUUCGAAAGCCGAUGGAUACUGCCGGGCUAGAGUCCGGAAGAGGCGAGUAGAAUUCCUGGUGUAGCGGUGGAAUGCGCAGAUAUCAGGAGGAAUACCCAUAGCGAAGGCAGCUCGCUGGGACGGUACUGACGCUGAGGCGCGAAAGCGUGGGGAGCGAACAGG